rnacentral:rRNA from 1 species
UACGAAGGGGGCUAGCGUUGCUCGGAAUCACUGGGCGUAAAGCGCACGUAGGCGGAUUCCUAAGUCGGGGGUGAAAUCCUGGAGCUCAACUCCAGAACUGCCUUCGAUACUGGGAAUCUUGAGUCCGGAAGAGGUGAGUGGAACUGCGAGUGUAGAGGUGAAAUUCGUAGAUAUCGGAAGGAACACCGGCGGCGAAGGCGGCCAUCUGGACGGUGACUGACGCUCAGACGCGAAAGCGCGGGGAGCAAACAGG